GUGUGGCCCGCGUCUCAUGGGUUCUGGCGGUAAAACGGCAACAUAUCGCCAAGUGUGGUGCAUGCUGCUCUGAUUUCCAGGUGGUAAAACGCUGCUGUGCUGCUCUCCUCCUCUUCCUCGUUCUGCGAGUGUGUGUGAGUGCAUUUGUGUGGAUUGGCAGGUCUCCCCAUACUUGGACCAUUGCUGCUCUUUUUGUACCCCGGAUUUCUGUAAGUUUACUAAUCAAAUUCGGACUGUGGUGGCGGCUACACGCCCUAAUUGAAGUGGUGUUUGGAGUGCGGCAUCGGCGCGCCCAGAUCGCCUCCAGAGGGCCACACCUGGUUCUGAUGAUAUAUUAACUUGUAUUUUCUAUGCUUUUGUUUUUAUUUUUGUCUCCAGCUUUUUCGGUUCCUUAUGUAACUAUUUAUUUGGGCUGAUGGUGUUUUUCUUUUGUUGUAUUAAGUUUAAGGUUGUUGCAUUAAUUUAUUUAUCUUUUUUGUUUGUUUAUUUGUAGUUGCUGAGGUCCGGUGGCGGUGUUGGUGUGGUGACUGUGUCAUCCUCUUCUGUGUACCGUGCUUUAAAGCAGUGGUCUUCAACCCCCGGGCCGCGUACCGGUACCGGUCCGUGGAGCAUUUGGUACCGGGCCGCGCAAGAAAUAAUUAAAUAUUUCCGUUUUAUGUAUUAUUUGAGUCUGCAGGAUAUUUUAUUGUGAAAAUCCUUUAACGGGAUUCUCUCUGUUACAUCUUGCGCACCAAUAUUGAGCCCACAAGUGGCAAAAUGAGUAAGAAACGGAUCAGACGUCUUUGGAAAAUUUAUUUGCAAAAGGGAAAAGGCCCAGAAAAGAGACAGGAGACUGGAUUUAUCCCGGACCGGUAGGUGAUUUCCACAUUCCAAGCCCGAUCUGCAUGAUGUGGUGACCGGCUCGUUAAUGAGGCAAUGAAGCUUCAAACUGCUUCGCCACUAGAAACCCUGAGCACCGUGUGCAUAAGCAACACUUUGGGUGUCAUUGUAUCGUCACUCCCAGAUGGGACUGUCUCCUUGCAGAGAAACAAGCUCAGGGCUCCCAUUAGUCGUUAAAAAUUUCAUGAAAGUAAAAUGUUCGUUUUUGUGGCGCAUCUGUAUCUUAUUUUGAAGGGAUACGUCAACGUUACCAUAGCGACCAGAAUCAGAGAGCUUUAGGGCAGUGGUCCAGACGAGACCAGAGGAGUAGAGCUUGUGAGUUUUAGGUAUGGUUCAAUUGUCGGCCGAUUUUCCAAAUCUCUGUGACCACAGAGCUGAUGAAAGUCCAACAGGUUCGAUCGGUUCGUGUCCAGCCACACGG